rnacentral:rRNA from 1 species
UGGGGAAUAUUGCACAAUGGGCGCAAGCCUGAUGCAGCGACGCCGCGUGAGCGAAGAAGGCCUUCGGGUCGUAAAGCUCUUUUAUAUGGGAAGAUAAUGACGGUACCAUAAGAAAAAGCCCCGGCUAACUACGUGCCAGCAGCCGCGGUAAUACGUAGGGGGCUAGCGUUGUCCGGAAUCACUGGGCGUAAAGGGUUCGCAGGCGGAAAUGCAAGUCAGGUGUAAAAGGCAGUAGCUUAACUACUGUAAGCAUUUGAAACUGCAUAUCUUGAGAAGAGUAGAGGUAAGUGGAAUUUUUAGUGUAGCGGUGAAAUGCGUAGAUAUUAAAAAGAAUACCGGUGGCGAAGGCGACUUACUGGGCUCAUUCUGACGCUGAGGAACGAAAGCGUGGGUAGCAAACAGG